rnacentral:rRNA from 1 species
UACGGAGGGUGCGAGCGUUGUCCGGAAUCACUGGGCGUAAAGGGCGCGUAGGUGGCUCACGCAAGCGUGCGGUGAAAGCCCGGGGCUCAACCCCGGGUCGGCCGUGCGGACUGCGGGGCUGGAGCACUGUAGGGGCAGAUGGAAUUCCGGGUGUAGCGGUGGAAUGCGUAGAGAUCCGGAAGAACACCGGUGGCGAAGGCGGUCUGCUGGGCAGUUGCUGACACUGAGGCGCGACAGCGUGGGGAGCAAACAGG